GAUGAACGCUGGCGGCGUGCCUAAUACAUGCAAGUCGAGCGAACGGACGAGAAGCUUGCUUUUCUGAUGUUAGCGGCGGACGGGUGAGUAACACGUGGAUAACCUACCUAUAAGACUGGGAUAACUUCGGGAAACCGGAGCUAAUACCGGAUAAUAUUUUGAACCGCAUGGUUCAAAAGUGAAAGACGGCCUUGCUGUCACUUAUAGAUGGAUCCGCGCUGCAUUAGCUAGUUGGUAAGGUAACGGCUUACCAAGGCAACGAUGCAUAGCCGACCUGAGAGAGUGAUCGGCCACACUGGAACUGAGACACGGUCCAGACUCCUACGGGAGGCAGCAGUAGGGAAUCUUCCGCAAUGGGCGAAAGCCUGACGGAGCAACGGCGCGUGAGUGAUGAAGGUCUUCGGAUCGUAAAACUCUGUUAUUAGGGAAGAACAUAUGUGUAAGUAACUGUGCACAUCUUGACGGUACCUAAUCAGAAAGCCACGGCUAACUACGUG
rnacentral:rRNA from 1 species